GGGAGAGGAUUUCUCCCUGGACAUCUGAUGAGGGAAAGAGAGCAAGCCUUAGCAUUUGGUUUUGGCUAAUAGCCUCUUCUUCCUGCAUUCCUGCAGGGCCUGUCAUCAGAGACCUGGAAAGCAGAGGGAACCAAGGCCAGGAAGCCCAAUGACAUGGGGACAGGAGCACAAUGAGCACAUCUUUGUGCAAGACUCUGACAGAUGCUGAAGGCUUGGCAUUGUGUACAUGCCCUACCCCAAGGCAGGUUCUCAGAACUUGGACACCAACAAGACCAGCCUGUUGGAACAAGCUCUCUCCUGGGGACCCAAGAACCACGUCUGUGAGUACCCACAGGGAGCCUGCCUGUCUAGGGCUUUGGGCUGGGCCUCCCCCAUACCUUGGGCCUACUAUGACCCUGCUUUUCAAACCAAAAAUGGAGACGUAUCAUCUGACGUAUGUAUUUUGGAGAGGACAAGGGAAAGAAUUUCUUGAAGAUGAAGAUUUAGGAUGUGUGGUUUCCAUAUCUAAUCCUCACUCAUUUGUUCAUUCAUCCAGCAGAUAGUCACUAAGUAGUCAUAAUGGAGCUGCAGCUGUGCCAGGCAUGGGCAAAACCAAGGUGGACAAGGAAGACCGGGUCCCUGGCUCAAAGGGCAGACAUCUGGGUUGCUUAGCGGUGCCCUACCCCAGAGACAAGAUACAGUGAUUCUUUAAGGCAGUGGUUGAUUAGCUCAGGAGGGUAAAGGGUGGAUGGAGGGGCUCAGAGCUGUGGGUCUGGUGUCAACUUUGCUUUGCAAAUAAUGAAUACCUGUGUGGCACCAGGGCCAACUCAGGCUCCCUGGGUCUGGUUUCUUCUGUGUGAAAUCAAGGGCUGUACUGCAUUGUUUUGACAGCUCCUUCAGCUCAAAGGUAUUUUGUUCCGCUUUCCUCUUAACUAGGGAGGAGCCCUCUGCCCUAAUGAGCUGACCCCCCAGGGCUGCAGCAGAUGAGAGAGUGUGAGUAACUCCAUGCAAAUCUCCUCCACCCAAAGCACUUGUGUUUCCUGGAAGGCUCAACCGUGCAUCUUCUCGUCGCUUUAAGGGCUGAGCAAUAUGCUGGAAAUGCUCACAGUUUCAAACACCAUUUUCUAGCAAUAAGCUCUGUGGUUAAAAAAGAAACAUCAUAAAAGGGUGAAUAGAUAAACGGACAAGACCUAUGACUUCAGGAUGCGUCAGAUUUCACUUUCUUGCUUUGAGGGAGGGGAGAAGGAUAAGCCCCACUCCUCUUCCUUGAAGAAAGAAGAGUUGGAUGAAUUCAGAUGGUGGAGAAAGGCUGAAUUCUGAAAUGUGUGUGCAUACAGUAAAAGGAAUUAGAGAGCCAGAUACACAAGUUCUCGGAGGGAGGCUGGAGAAGUACAGGAGGCCCCUAGGAGAGUGGCCAGGGUCAGGGCAAAGGUGAACUAAAGGACAGAGAGGAACAGUCUGGGCCGGGCACUGCCCCCAAGCCUGGACUCUGUGAUGAAAUGCAGAUACCAGAGGGGGGCAUUGCAGCAGGCCCUGAAGUGUCUGGCCACUCAUCAUUCCUUU
rnacentral:lncRNA from 1 species